UACGAAGGGGGCUAGCGUUGUUCGGAUUCAUUGGGCGUAAAGGGUGUGUAGGUGGCGCCGUAAGUCGGGUGUGAAAUCUUGGAGCUUAACUCCGAAACUGCAUUCGAUACUGCCGUGCUUGAGGACUGGAGAGGAGACUGGAAUUUACGGUGUAGCGGUGAAAUGCGUAGAUAUCGUAAGGAAGACCAGUGGCGAAGGCGGGUCUCUGGACAGUUCCUGACGCUGAGGCACGAAGGCCAGGGGAGCAAACGGG
rnacentral:rRNA from 1 species